rnacentral:rRNA from 1 species
GGACUUCGGUCCCUGAGUACAGUGGCGAACGGGUGCGUAACACGUAAGUAAUCUACCCCGGACACUGGGAUAACCCUCCGAAAGGAGGGCUAAUACUGGAUAGGGUCCCCGAGGUAUAAGGCGCGGGGGGAAAGCAGGCCUCUGACGUAAGCCUGUGGUGCGGGAUGAGCUUGCGGCCCAUUAGCUAGUUGGUAGGGUAAUGGCCUACCAAGGCGACGAUGGGUAGCUGGUCUGAGAGGAUGAUCAGCCACACUGGCACUGAGAUACGGGCCAGACUCCUACGGGAGGCAGCAGUGGGGAAUUUUGCGCAAUGGGCGAAAGCCUGACGCAGUAACGCCGCGUGGAGGAUGAAGGCCUUCGGGUUGUAAACUCCUGUCGGGAGGAACGACGGAGACGGGGUGAUAAGCCCUUGUCUCCAGACGGUACCUCCAAAGGAAGCCCCGGCUAAUUCCGUGCCAGCAGCCGCGGUAA